rnacentral:rRNA from 1 species
UCGAGGAUCUUUGGCAAUGGGCGCAAGCCUGACCAAGCGACGCCGCGUGUGCGAUGAAGGCCUUCGGGUUGUAAAGCACUGUCGAGGGGGAUAAAGCCGCAAGGUUGAUUGAUCCCUGGAGGAAGCACGGGCUAAGUUCGUGCCAGCAGCCGCGGUAAGACGAACCGUGCGAACGUUGUUCGGAAUCACUGGGCUUAAAGGCGCGUAGGCGGCAGAUCAAGUCCGGGGUGAAAUCCUCCAGCUCAACUGGAGAAGUGCCUUGGAUACUGAUUUGCUCGAGGGAGGUAGGGGCCCGCGGAACUUCUGGUGGAGCGGUGAAAUGCGUUGAUAUCAGAAGGAACGCCGGUGGCGAAAGCGGCGGGCUGGAUCUCUACUGACGCUGAGGCGCGAAAGCUAGGGGAGCAAACGG